rnacentral:lncRNA from 1 species
UCCUUUUUUAAAUUAUCUUAAUAUUUUUUAUUCCCAACAGACUUGUCUUUGGACAAAAUUGAGAAGAACUCAUAAACUUCGCUUCUUCACUUCUGCUCCUCAGACACGCAUGGAUGAUUUGAACAUAUUAGCCUAACAAGAUGGAAGCAGGUUUAAAAUUUUAUAUAAGAAGUUACCUUUUUCAGGCAGUACAUACAGCUUCACUGGGGUCUGUGUGUCAAACUUACCAAGAGGAGGACAUUGUGGAGACUUAUUGUUAAUUAGCAAUGCUUAUGCAUGCAAACCUUGGUCAGAUGAUGUUCUGUUUGGAGAGAAAAUUGAAUAAGUACAUGACCCCUUGGAAGCUGUUUUCAGUUGAGGAUUUUGUUGUGUUGAUGUUCCUUUCAGCUGGUCCUAUAGUCCCCCUCCUCAGGAAUGUCUCCCAGUGCAAGGACAAAGACUGAAGAGACUGCUAUAUUGAUGGACCCUCAAGCCAACUAUGAAGUUGAAACAAAGAAAGUGAUCACCUGAAGACACCUCCUCUGCUAAGAAACACCCCCAAAUUGUGCAGCUUCUGACACU